rnacentral:rRNA from 1 species
CUUGGCGACCAUAGCGCUUUGGACCCACCUGACUCCAUGCCGAACUCAGUAGUGAAAGGAAGCAGCGCCGAUGGUAGUGUGGGGCCUCCCCAUGUGAGAGUAGGACAUCGCCAGGC